rnacentral:snoRNA from 1 species
ACCCUCUCGAGUUCACACCUGGAGAGUUUCCAGUACUCUACCAGUCUCGACUAUAGGAGGAAGAGUCAGGCAGAGGCCUGCCCAUUCCAUUCCUAGCUUGGGCAGUGGCUAGCGAGUGGAAGACAACCUGGUACAACU